GCGGGUGUGAUGUAGCGGCUAGCAUCUGAGUGCGCCACACUCAGCGCAUGGGUUCAAAUCCCAUCACUCGCU
rnacentral:tRNA from 1 species